rnacentral:rRNA from 1 species
CCUACGGGUGGCAGCAGUGGGGAAUAUUGCACAAUGGGGGAAACCCUGAUGCAGCAACGCCGCGUGAGUGAAGAAGUAUUUCGGUAUGUAAAGCUCUAUCAGCAGGGAAGAAGAUGACGGUACCUGAGUAAGAAGCCCCGGCUAACUACGUGCCAGCAGCCGCGGUAAUACGUAGGGGGCAAGCGUUAUCCGGAUUUACUGGGUGUAAAGGGAGCGUAGACGGUGAGACAAGUCAGAUGUGAAAGCCCGGGGCUCAACCCCGGGACUGCAUUUGGAACUGUGCUGCUAGAGUGUCGGAGAGGCAGGCGGAAUUCCUAGUGUAGCGGUGAAAUGCGUAGAUAUUAGGAGGAACACCAGUGGCGAAGGCGGCCUGCUGGACGAUGACUGACGUUGAGGCUCGAAAGCGUGGGGAGCAAACAGGAUUAGAUACCCCUGUAGUC